rnacentral:rRNA from 1 species
GUGAUCCACGAGGAAGGCACACGGUGGAUGCCUCGGCGCGUGGGGCCGAUGAAGGACGUGGCCAGGCGGCGAAACGCCUCGGGGAGCCGCGGGCAGGCAGUGAUCCGAGGGUGUCCGAAUGGGGCAACCCGUCCCGGGUUAUACCGGGACACCCGUCGCUGAACCCAUAGGCGGCGGGGGGGUACCGGGGGAACUGAAACAUCUUAGUACCCCGAGGAGCAGAGAGCAUUCCCGUAGUAGCGGCGAGCGAACCGGGAGGAGCCCAAACCCGGCCGGUGGUACAGGCUGCCGCCGAUGCUGGUCGGGGGUAGGACGGCCCGGGGGGCGGGGCGGCAGACCCGCCACGGAGUGAGCAACCAGCCUCUUAGCCGAACGCUGCUGGAAGGGGCGGCCGGAGACGGUGAGAGCCCGGUAGGCGACGGGGGGCUGGCUCCGCCCGGGUCCGUGAGUACCGCGGGACACGUGGAAUCCCGUGGGAAGCGGGGUGGCCCACCACCCAAGGCUAAAUACCCCACGCGACCGAUAGUGGACGAGUACCGUGAGGGACAGGUGAAAAGCACCCCGGUGAGGGGAGUGAAAGAGAGCCUGAAACCGUGUGCCUCCAGACGGUCAGAGGGGGGCGCGAGUCCCCUGAUGGCGUGCCUAUUGGAGAAUGAACCGGCGAGUGACCGUUCGUGGCCAGGCUAAGGGAGGGACACCCGGAGCCGGAGCGAAAGCGAGUCUGAAGAGGGCGUGCUGAGUCGCGGGCGGUCGACCCGAAACCCGGUGAGCUACCCAUGGCCAGGCUGAAGCGCGGGUAAGAGCGCGUGGAGGGCCGCACCGACGUCUGUUGCAAAAGGCGCGGAUGAGCUGUGGGUAGGGGUGACAUGCCAAGCGAACUGGGAGAUAGCUGGUUCUCCCCGAAAUGGUUUUUGGGCCAGCCUCGCGAGGUGGCCGGCGGAGGUAGAGCACUGGAUCGGCGCGGGGGCUCACCGCUUACCAACCCGAACCAAACUCCGAAUGCCGCUGGCGCGAGCUCGCGGGAGUGAGACGGCGGGGGCUAAGCUUCGUCGUCGAGAGGGGAACAGCCCAGACCGCCGGCUAAGGUCCCCAAGUGUGGGCUCAGUGGGCAAGGAAGUGCGGGCGCGGAGACAACCAGGAGGUUGGCUUAGAAGCAGCCAUCCUUGAAAGAGUGCGUAACAGCUCACUGGUCGAGUGUGCCCGGGCGCCGACAAUCCACCGGGGCUAAGCCCACCACCGAAGCCGCGGGUUCGUCCGGAGGGACGGACGGUAGGGGAGCGUCGUCGUCGGCAGUGAAGGUGGGCCGGGAGGUCUGCUGGAGCGGCGACGAGUGCGAAUGCCGGUAUGAGUAGCGCGAGGGCGGUGCGAAUCCGCCCCACCGAAUGCCGCAGGGUUCCGCAGCCAUGCUUGUCAGCUGCGGGUGAGUCGGGCCUAAGCCGAGGGCGGCAGCCGUAGGCGAUGGACAACGGGUCAACAUUCCCGUACCACGGUGUCACGUGAUGAGCGAUGGGGGGACGCAGGGGGGUAGGCCCAGCGUGGGGAAACCCGCGUCCAAGCGUGUAGGGUGGCCUGGGAGGCAAAUCCCCCGGGCUAGACCUGAGGCGUGAUGGUCAGGCGCGGUGUGCGCCGAGUGGGUUGAGCCCGAACUGCCGAGAAAAGCCUCUAGCCAGUGGCAUCGUGCCCGUACCGCAAACCGACACAGGUCGGCAGGUAGAGCAUACCGAGGUGGACGGGAGAACCCUCGUUAAGGAACUCGGCAAACUGGCCCCGUAACUUCGGGAGAAGGGGCGCCCCGGGUAGGGUGACGGACCUACGCGGUUCGGAGCCUGAGGGGGCCGCAGGGAACCGGCCCAGGCGACUGUUUACCAAAAACACAGGUCUCUGCGAAGGCGCAAGCCGACGUAUAGGGGCUGAUGCCUGCCCAGUGCCGGAAGGUUAACGGGAGGGGUGCGAGCCCCGAACGGAAGCCCCGGUAAACGGCGGCCGUAACUAUAACGGUCCUAAGGUAGCGAAAUUCCUUGUCGGGUAAGUUCCGACCCGCACGAAAGGCAUAACGACCUGGGCGCUGUCUCAACGAGGGACCCGGUGAAAUUGCAGGACCCGUGCAGAUGCGGGUGACCCACGGCAGGACAAAAAGACCCCGUGGAGCUUUACUCCAGCUUGCCAUUGUGCGUGGGCCAGGCUUGUGUAGGAUAGGUGGGAGGCGGAGAACCCGGGCCGCCAGGUCCGGGGGAGCCGGCGGUGAAAUACCACUCUGGUCUGGUCGACGCGCUCACCCCGACCCGUGAGCCGGGCGGGGGACCGUGGCUGGUGGGGAGUUUGACUGGGGCGGUCGCCUCCUAAAAGGUAACGGAGGCGUUCAAAGGUACCCUCAGGCCGGAUGGCAAUCGGCCGGAGCGUGCAACGGCAGCAAGGGUGCUUGACUGCGAGGCUGACCCGCCGAGCAGGGCCGAAAGGCGGACGUAGUGAUCCCACGGUACCGCGUGGCAGGGCCGUGGCUUAACGGAUAAAAGCUACCCCGGGGAUAACAGGCUGAUCGUGCCCAAGAGUUCACAUCGACGGCACGGUUUGGCACCUCGAUGUCGGCUCGUCGCAUCCUGGGGCCGGAGGAGGUCCCAAGGGUUGGGCUGUUCGCCCAUGAAAGCGGUACGCGAGCUGGGUUCAGAACGUCGUGAGACAGUUCGGUCUCUAUCCGCCGUGGGCGGCAGAAGGUUGCGGGGGGCUGGCCCUAGUACGAGAGGACCGGGCUGGACGCACCGCUGGUGUGCCAGUUGUCGGGCAACCGGCAUUGCUGGGUAGCCACGUGCGGCAGGGAUAACCGCUGACAGCAUCUAAGUGGGAAGCCCGCCCCAAGAUGAGCCUUCUCACCCCGGAAGGGGGUAAGACCCCGGGUAGACCACCCGGUUGCGAGGCGGCACGUGGACGGCCGGUAACGGACCGGAGCGAAGCCGUGCUCAUGGUCGAGGGUGGAUCUCCG